rnacentral:rRNA from 1 species
GAUGAACGCUGGCGGCAGGCCUAACACAUGCAAGUCGAACGGCAGCACAGGAGAGCUUGCUCUCCGGGUGGCGAGUGGCGGCCGGGUGAGGAAUACAUCGGAAUCUACUCUGUCGUGGGGGAUAACGUAGGGAAACCUACGCUAAUACCGCAUACGACCUACGGGUGAAAGCAGGGGAUCUUCGUACCUUGCGCGAUUGAAUGAGCCGAUGUCGGAUUAGCUGGUUGGCGGGGUCAAGGCACCCCAAGGCGACGAUCCGAAGCUGGUCUGAGGGGGUGUUCAGCCACACUGGAACUCAGACACGAUCCAGACUCCUACGGGGGGCAGCAGUGGAGAUUAUUGCACAAUGGGCGCAAGCCUGAGCCGGCCAUACCGCGUGGGUGAAGAAGGCCUUCGGGUUGUAAAGCCCUUUUGUUGGGAAAGAAAUCCAGCUGGCUAAUACCCGGUUGGGAUGACGGUACCCAAAGAAUAAGCACCGGCUAACUUCGUGCCAGCCGCCGCCGUAA